UCAGUCUCAUGAAUAUUUCUGCUUCUCACAAAAAGGGAUUGAAUGGUUCUCAGGGACAUUGUCCUGCAGUGGGACAGCCUGGCUCCUCCUCCCUUUUGUCUGCUGUGUCUUUGGAGAGGCAAGCUGCCUUCCACCCAGCACACCUGCUGCACAACACCAGGGUCUCCCAUUCAGAAGAGAAAGAAAAUGCCCAAGAGAGGGAAAAAGAUCAAAAGAAAUAUUUUGUUUCCAGGCUUCUCUCGAAUAGGAGGAUAAUUCUGGAAAAUGAAACCAAUAUCAUAAAACGUAUUGAUCAUCCAUCGACUGAGUAUUUGCUAAGCCUAUACUAAGUGAGAAGCACUUUGGUGAGAAACUGCAGGGUCCUGCUGAGAUCUGACAAUGGUUUAUGACAUCGGAGAUGGAAGAAGUAGGCCUCAGGAGAUGGGCUAAGAACAGAAGACAAGAUCUAAGACAUGAAGGACUCUGUAUGUUCUGUGAAGGAGCACAGGUGUCUUUCUUUCUAUAAUCACAAGGCCCUGCAAUAUUUCAAUAAAUUUGGAAAAUUUA